CAGAGUAUAGCUAAAUUAGUAAAGCGUCUCCCUUACACUGAGAAGCCAGCCGUGCAAAUCGACUUACCCUGA
rnacentral:tRNA from 1 species